rnacentral:rRNA from 1 species
ACGGGGGGACUCCUACGGGAGGCAGCAGUGGGGAAUAUUGCACAAUGGGCGAAAGCCUGAUGCAGCGACGCCGCGUGAGGCAUGACGGCCUUCGGGUUGUAAACCUCUUUCAGCAGGGACGAAGCGAAAGUGACGGUACCUGCAGAAGAAGCACCGGCCAACUACGUGCCAGCAGCCGCGGU